AUUGAACGCUGGCGGCAUGCCUUACACAUGCAAGUCGAACGGCAGCGCGGGAGCAAUCCUGGCGGCGAGUGGCGAACGGGUGAGUAAUAUAUCGGAACGUGCCCAGUAGUGGGGGAUAGCCCGGCGAAAGCCGGAUUAAUACCGCAUGAGACCUGAGGGUGAAAGCGGGGGAUCGCAAGACCUCGCGCUAUUGGAGCGGCCGAUAUCAGAUUAGCUAGUUGGUGGGGUAAAGGCCUACCAAGGCAACGAUCUGUAGUUGGUCUGAGAGGACGACCAGCCACACUGGGACUGAGACACGGCCCAGACUCCUACGGGAGGCAGCAGUGGGGAAUUUUGGACAAUGGGCGCAAGCCUGAUCUAGCAAUGCCGCGUGCAGG
rnacentral:rRNA from 1 species